rnacentral:lncRNA from 1 species
CACCAUAACCACCACCGUACCCGCCACUAUAGCCUCCGCCACCCCCAUCGCCAUUGAACCCUCCACCGCCACUAUACCUGCCAACACCUCCACCACCGGUACUUCUAGUUACUGUUGCCGGCUUAGUAUUGCUAGCGGUAGUACUACUACUACUUUUGUACAUUUCACCUCUUUCCACGUCACCAUAAGUUGGCCUUGGCCGGGGCGGAGGCACUGUCGUGGCAUUACUAGUGAUAUUAGUACUUGUGGAAAGCCUAGCUUUUUUCUUAUCCUGCUUGUUUAUCCAUAUCCAAAUAAAAACAAAAAAGGAUACCACCAAGGCAGAAAUUAUUAUGAUUACAAUAGCUAAUGGCUUCAUAUUUCGAAAAUGGUAUUCUUUGUACUUAAUUAUACACCGAAUUAAUUAAUUUACUUUGUGCCCUC